GGUCAGUAUGAACUACAGUAGAGACAGCAGGUCAGUAUGAACUACAGUAGAGACAGCAGGUCAGUGUGAACUACAGUAGAGACAGCAGGUCAGUGUGAACUACAGUAGAGACAGCAGGUCAGUAUGAACUACAGUAGAGACAGCAGGUCAGUGUGAACUACAGUAGAGACAGCAGGUCAGUAUGAACUACAGUAGAGACAGCAGGUCAGUGUGAACUACAGUAGAGACAGCAGGUCAGUGUGAACUACAGUAGAGACAGCAGGUCAGUAUGAACUACAGUAGAGACAGCAGGUCAGUGUGAACUACAG